GGUGAGGUGGCCGAGCGGCUGAAGGCUCUCCCCUGCUAAGGGAGCAUAUGGUUAAGAACCGUAUCGAGGGUUCGAAUCCCUCUCUCACCG
rnacentral:tRNA from 1 species